GUAAGGAAUAUUGGGCAAUGGGCGCAAGCCUGACCCAGCCAUGCCGCGUGAAGGAUGACGGCCCUAUGGGUUGUAAACUUCUUUUGUACGGGAAAAAACCACCGGUCGUGACCGGUGCUGAUGGUACCGUAAGAAUAAGCAUCGGCUAACUCCGUGCCAGCAGCCGCGGUAAUACGGAGGAUGCAAGCGUUAUCCGGAUUCAUUGGGUUUAAAGGGUGCGCAGGCGGAAUAAUAAGUCAGUGGUGAAAUCCUACGGCUCAACUGUAGAACUGCCAUUGAUACUGUUAUUCUUGAGUACACUUGAAGUGGGCGGAAUGUGUCAUGUAGCGGUGAAAUGCUUAGAUAUGACACAGAACACCGAUCGCGAAGGCAGCUCACUAAAUUGUAACUGACGCUCAUGCACGAAAGCGUGGGGAUCAAACAGGAUUAGAAACCCCUGUAGUCC
rnacentral:rRNA from 1 species